GGUUAACAUUGGCGGCGUGCUUAACACAUGCAAGUCGAACGGUGAAGCAGGAGCUUGCCCUUGUGGAUCAGUGGCGAACGGGUGAGUAACACGUGAGCAACCUGCCCCUGACUCUGGGAUAAGCGCUGGAAACGGCGUCUAAUACUGGAUAAGUGAUGUGACCGCAUGGUCUGCAUCUGGAAAGAAUUUCGGUUGGGGAUGGGCUCGCGGCCUAUCAGCUUGUUGGUGAGGUAAUGGCUCACCAAGGCGUCGACGGGUAGCCGGCCUGAGAGGGUGACCGGCCACACUGGGACUGAGACACGGCCCAGACUCCUACGGGAGGCAGCAGUGGGGAAUAUUGCACAAUGGGCGGAAGCCUGAUGCAGCAACGCCGCGUGAGGGAUGACGGCCUUCGGGUUGUAAACCUCUUUUAGCAGGGAAGAAGCGAAAGUGACGGUACCUGCAGAAAAAGCACCGGCUAACUACGUGCCAGCCGCCGCGGUAA
rnacentral:rRNA from 1 species